GAUGAACGCUGGCGGCGUGCUUAACACAUGCAAGUCGAACGGAAAGGCCCAAGCUUGCUUGGGUACUCGAGUGGCGAACGGGUGAGUAACACGUGGGUGAUCUGCCCUGCACUUCGGGGUAAGCCUAGGAAACUGGGUCUAAUACCGGAUAGGACCACCUCGUAGAUGGUGUGGUGGAGAGAUUUUUCGGGGUGGGAUGUGCUCGCGGCCUAUCAGCUUGUUGGUGGGGUAGUGGCCUACCAAGGCGUCGGGGGGUAGCCGUGCUGAGAGGGGGUACGACCACAUUGGGACUGUGCGACGGCCCAGCCUCCGACGGGAAGCAGCGGUGAGGAAUGUUGCACGAUCGGCGGCAGCCUGAUGCAGCGACGCCGCGUGGGUGAUGGCGGCCUUCUGGUUGUAAGCUCCUUUCGCCAAAGACGCAUUUAGGACGGUAUUGGGAGAAGAAGCACCGGCUAACUACGUG
rnacentral:rRNA from 1 species